rnacentral:lncRNA from 1 species
UGUUAAGCUUAACGAAAACAACUAUUAUCUAUGGAAAAGCAUCAGGACUCCUCUCUUGAGAGCAUAUCAGCUUCUCGAUUAUGCUGACGGUAGCAUCCUACCCCCAUCGAAAACUAUCACAGUUUCUGAUGCAAACACAACCAAAGAAAGCCCGAAUCUAGAAUACAAAAAAUGGCUCAUUCAAGAUCAAUUCGUCCUCACCUGUCUCAUGAUCACUGUCAAUCAAGAGGUCGAAACCCAACUC